CUCUCCUUUGUGGUGUUUUCCCUGUGAUCCUAGAUCUUUGGAGGCAGAGCUGAGAGAGCAAGGAAGACUGCCUGGCAAACAAAUGAGAAUGCUCAGAGAAUUGAAAAUUAGGAGAGAAAAGAAGGGGCUAAAAUAACACUUUCCACUGUGCCCAGCCCCCUCCUUGAGAUAAAGCAAUCAUUAGGACACAGUGGGGCCAUGGAGCAGGAGCAGCAGGAGCUCCCUGAGGUUUUCUUAAAGCCAUGUGGCAGCAAGCUGGCUAAACUGUUCUUCAAGAUGUAACAGUCACUUGUUCUGGAAGCAAUGUACUGCUGGCUACGGACUUAAGUAGCAACAGUUGGGGAAGGAUACAGUUUUUGAAGUACCGAACAUUCACUAAAUUGCCACUGAGAGAUUCGGAGCACAAGUCCUUUAACUUCUAUUCCAAGUGAUGCCAAAGGAAAACAGAACUAUGUUUGCAUGGAGUGGCAUCAGAAUUGCAGCACGCUGUCCCUGUUUUUUCAACCUGCACUUCAGGUCAGCCUCCCUGCUCUGCCAGACAUUCCAAGGCAGGAAAUGGUCCUGCUGUCUGCAGUGUAGCUUGUCGAGAGCUGAGUAAUACUUAGCACAAGGAUAGCUUUUCAGAUAACCACUGGACCAAAUGAAAGUGGGACUGUGUUGACACAUUCUGAUUCAGAAGGAGAUAUCUACAUGACUAAGGGACGUUUUCAAUUUCUAGGAUCUAGAAAUAGAAUUGCAAAUUUGCUCUAGUCUCCAUGAAGUAUCUGGAUGGGGUGGGUCCUCCUACUCUGCAUGAUACCAGCAGGGUAAUGAAAGAAUUGUAUUUUCUUCUGUGUUAGGAAAAGAAGGGGGAAGAAUUGUCCAUCUGCUGGGCUCCUUUCUUUUUGCCCUGGCUGUCGGGUAUCAGAUUUCCUUCAUCUGAGAAGGAAUGGGAGUUUCUCACAAGUGAGAAAAGCAUACCUUCCCCAGCAAGUGGACUUUCCAAAAACUGGGGAAGAACUAAUAUGACAAACGUUUUCCUGGCCAAUUAAAUAGAAAUCGCAUGUUACUUGCUCUCCCUAUCUUUGAAUCUGUUUAAUGUUUGAAUUGGUUGAAACAAAUAUGAAUAGAUGAAACGUACUCACUUUGGCUCUAGUUACCACAACUAUUUAGAACAGCUAAAUAGAAGUUAGUCAGAAGAUAACUUUCCCUGAUUGUACUCUAUGAAACUAUACACAUUCACCAGAAAAUUUAGUAUACAUGAUUACAUUUUGAAUUAUGCUUUAUUCUUAAGGCUUUUCAAACAGCUACUAAUAAAAAUAUCCUUUUAAAUUUGGUUUUCCUGAGUAACCAGAGGACGAGGAAAGCAAACAUGUUUCGGCAGUGGCAUCUAGUGGUCAAACUUCUGUGUAAUGAAACUAUGAAGGGAGACUGCCAUUUUUCAAGAAAGAAAUUUUCUUUAAGAUAGUCUGCUGUAGGAAGUGUAAAAUAAUUAAAAAUAAUAAAAAAAAAAGCAUUUGUUUUUUGUUGGAAAUGGGAAUUUUGCUGGAGGAUGUUGUCUGUGUUACUGUAGCUGGUAGCAGGGUAUUUCAAAAAUUGUAAGAAAAAACAUUACAAAAGUGGCAUUUUUUUCUGGUUUCUGUGUAGCCUCACUUUGCUUAUGUUUAUGCUACCAUGCUCUAGUGCAUCCACCAGACUGCAGAAAUCCAUCCUACCAAUCGUGAAU